UCUCAAAUUUAUAGGAUAGGUAGAAUUCACCCAUAAAUUUUAUCAAAAAAAAAAACCAACCACAAAUUCACUCCCAAUCUUUUGGCAUCUAAGAAACCCUAGCAGACGCUUUAAACCCUAAUUUACAAGCACUUGAGCACUAUUUUCUUAAUAUCUCUAGAAUCCAAUACUCAAAUGUCAUAAAACUUAUGUACAAAGAUUAUUUACAUGAAAUCACACAUUUCCUGAAAAUUUGAGCCAAAAUCUUGUCAAAUUGCUUAAGAUAUAGCUCAAGAUACAACCACUAGUAAAUCGGGUCACUUACUACCCUUAGAUUGCAUGUGCUGACUUCAAAAUCCAUAAUUCCUUCACUCCAACUUGGAAUCCAGCAAACACUAUGUAAAAAGUGUAGCCGCAAAAGUGCUCUCUUUAGUUGCAGUCGCCGAUCCUCAAUUG
rnacentral:lncRNA from 1 species